rnacentral:lncRNA from 1 species
UAGAGGCGAAAUGUUCGAAUCUUUAUUCUUUUGAAAAGAAGAAAGAAUCACAAAGUUGUUGAGGCCAAUUCACUUAGAUGUUAGUGGCACUUGUCCACAAACAUAAAUACUACUCAUGUUGAUUGACAUUCACCGAAGAUCACUCUCGGUUGGACUAUAGUUUAUUUUGAAUAAACACAAGUCUGAAUACUUUGCAAAAUGUUUCAAAGAAUUCAAGUAAUGUAAGUUGAUGAGUAAGACGUCUAAAGUAU